CAGUCGCCGCGGUAAUACGUAGGGUGCAAGCGUUAAUCGGAAUUACUGGGCGUAAAGCGUGCGCAGGCGGUCUGUUAAGACAGAUGUGAAAUCCCCGGGCUUAACCUGGGAACUGCAUUUGUGACUGGCAGGCUAGAGUGUGGCAGAGGGGGGUGGAAUUCCGCGUGUAGCAGUGAAAUGCGUAGAUAUGCGGAGGAACACCGAUGGCGAAGGCAGCCCCCUGGGCCAGCACUGACGCUCAUGCACGAAAGCGUGGGGAGCAAACAGGAUUAGAUACCCCAGUAGUCCCUGUCUCUUAUAC
rnacentral:rRNA from 1 species